CUUGUGUAGAAUAAGUUCAUUAUUUUGAAGCUUGACAAACAAAAAUAUAAAUCCACUUACGAGUGAACUCAUAAAUGAAUAUUUUGAGCUUAGCAAAACAUUUACAACGUGGUGUUCUCUAGCUCAUCGCAUUAAGGAAUUCCACUAACUAAACAGCAUGAUAUAAACUUGUAUAUAAUCAAGCCUUGAACUAAUUUACAAGUAAGCUUCAACUCUAAAUACAGAUUUGUUCAGCCAUGAAAAGUUUUAGUGCCUCGUACAUAAUAGCAAUGAUGGUAGUUCAAAUUGCAUAUGGUGUAUCAAAUAUUCUCAUGAAACUUAAUCCUUUUGCAUAUAUUUUUGCAGUUUAUCGCCACUUAAUAGCUAUUCUUGUUUUAAGCCCUUCAAGUUAAAUGUUAAUACUGUCUGCUAUUUAGGAUGGAAACAAUGAAACUUGGCAGUAAUAGAGGUAAAGCUAAGCUGUUUGGAACACUGGCUUGAUUGGCGGAUCACUUAUUUUUACCUUCUGUAAAGGAAAGCACUUAUUCACAAGUUUUAAGCAGAAGCCCUUAAUCCAGCUCUAUGACACUGAAGGUAUACUCAAUACAAUGAAGAAAAUUUUUAGGUUUUUUUUUCUUCUUCAAUACAUUGCAGCACAACCAAGUUUUAAAAGGUGAGUCAAGGAAUCAUAAGGAAAAU
rnacentral:lncRNA from 1 species